rnacentral:lncRNA from 1 species
CAGAGCCGGUCCUAGAUUUUUCAAGGCCACAAGCCCGAAACAAAAAAAAUGGCUGACAUUUUUUCUUACAAAAAUUAUGUACAUAAUGGAGAUUCAAACCCAGGCUCUCACAUAGCUAGGGUGAACAACCAACCACUAGGCCAUCAACAAUUUUAUGAAUUUUGUGGCCGGUUACAAAGUUAAUAAAUUGGUGGCCGCAAUCAGUUGCUUCAUUUGCUUCUAGCAAGGG